rnacentral:rRNA from 1 species
ACUACUCAUAAUCGGAGGGCUUUGUUCCGUGGCAAAUAAAACCGUGAAAUAUACAUUCCGACUCACCCCUGAUCAGGAAGAAGAUAUCGAUGCUAUUAUGCUUAGACAAAAUAUCGAUAAACGUUCACAACUCUUUGGAAUGGCCAUAGGGAAUUUCAUUGCAGAAAAUAAAGCGGAUUCAAAUUCACAAAAAGUGGUGGCGAACCUACCAAUUAAUAUGGUUAAUCGGGUAAUGGAUUGUGUUUCAUCAGGUGAUGCGCUCAAUAUGGAGAAUGCAAUACAGCUGUCAUUGGAACAGUUCCUUAGUUCCAAAGAAGAGUUCUAUUUAAAAACCUGGAAAGAACUGAAAAAUGCUCGUUUCGAAUACCUUAAAGAACGCGGUCAAAAGGCUGCGCUUGAAGAUGCUUAUAAUAAAUAAUUAUCAGAUAUCAGAUAUUACAUUCAUUUAAUAAUUACAAUACUUAAAAACUAGGUAAGAUGGCCUUGCUAGAGGGUCU